rnacentral:misc_RNA from 1 species
GAUGAAGAACGCAGCGAAAUGCGAUACGUAAUGUGAAUUGCAGAAUUCAGUGAAUCAUCGAGUCUUUGAACGCACAUUGCGCCCCCUGGUAUUCCGGGGGGCAUGCCUGUCCGAGCGUCAUUGCUGCCCUCAAGCACGGCUUGUGUGUUGGGCCUCCGUCCUCCUCCCGGGGGACGGGCCCGAAAGGCAGCGGCGGCACCGCGUCCGGUCCUCGAGCGUAUGGGGCUUCGUCACCCGCUCUUGUAGGCCCGGCCGGCGCUUGCCGACACAUCAAUCUUUUCUCCAGGUUGACCUCGGAUCAGGUAGGGAUACCCGCUGAACUUAAGCAUAUCAAUAAGCGGAGGA